ACCAGACUCCUACGGGAGGCAGCAGUGGGGGAUAUUGCACAAUGGGGGGAACCCUGAUGCAGCGACGCCGCGUGGGUGAAGAAGCGCCUCGGCGCGUAAAGCCCUGUCAGCAGGGAAGAAAAUGACGGUACCUGAAGAAGAAGCCCCGGCUAACUACGUGCCAGCAGCCGCGGUAAUACGUAGGGGGCAAGCGUUAUCCGGAUUUACUGGGUGUAAAGGGGGCGCAGACGGCGAUGCAAGCCAGGAGUGAAAGCCCGGGGCCCAACCCCGGGACUGCUCUUGGAACUGCGUGGCUGGAGUGCAGGAGGGGCAGGCGGAAUUCCUGGUGUAGCGGUGAAAUGCGUAGAUAUCAGGAGGAACACCGGUGGCGAAGGCGGCCUGCUGGACUGCAACUGACGUUGAGGCCCGAAAGCGUGGGGAGCAAACAGGAUUAGAUACCCGAGUACU
rnacentral:rRNA from 1 species